AUGCAAAUCACCUGGGGAUCUUAUUAAAAAACAAAAACCGCUGACUGAUUACAAAGCUAGGGAUUGGGCUUGAGAUUUUUCAUUUUUAACAAGUUCCUAGGAGAUGUCAAU
rnacentral:pre_miRNA from 1 species